GUUCACUUACAGACUUUGAGAUGAUCAUAUUUUCAGCUGAAAAUGGAACUGCUUAUGUUUGUUUUUGUAGUUGUAAUUUCAGCUGUCACAGCAGCCGGCCCAACACAAGAUCCUAAUGCAGCUGCUAGUCCUGAGAAUGUGACUGAAGGUAGGCCUAUUUAUUUAUCUAUUUAUACAACCAUCCAUCCAUCCAUCCAUGCAUCCAUCUUUCCAUACGUCCUUCCUUUUUCUUUCUUUCUUUCUUUCUUUCUUUCUUUCUUUUCGAAUGAAUGAAUAAAGGCAAAUUCAUGUUUUCAUUUAUAUUGUAUUUUUUGUUUUUUAAUGCUAAGUAGUUUGAAAGAGUUGUAAUGGUAUGGACUACAAAGCACAAUGUCUGUUAAUAAUACAUGAUUUAAAAUAAAUAUUGCUAAAUUGCCCA
ensembl:lncRNA